UACAGAGGUGGCAAGCGUUGUUCGGAAUUACUGGGCGUAAAGGGCGCGUAGGCGGCCUUCUAAGUCAGACGUGAAAUCCCCGGGCUCAACCUGGGAACUGCGUUUGAAACUACAAGGCUAGAGUGUAGCAGAGGGGGGUGGAAUUCCACGUGUAGCAGUGAAAUCGCGUAGAGAGUGAUGGAGGAACACCGAUGGCGAAGGCAGCCCCCUGGGUUAACACUGACGCUCAGGCACGAAAGCGUGGGGAGCAAACAGG
rnacentral:rRNA from 1 species